rnacentral:rRNA from 1 species
UGCAAGUCGAGCGCCCCUUUUGGGGAGCGGCGGACGAGCGAGUAACACGUUGGUACCUGCCCCGAACUCAGGGAUAACCCACCGAAAGGUGUGGCUAAUACCGGAUAGUCCCGCAAGGGUAAAGACUUUUCGGUUCGGGAGGGGCCUGCGGCCUAUCAGCUUGUUGGUGAGGUAACGGCUCACCAAGGCAACGACGGGUAACUGGUCUGAGAGGAUGACCAGUCGCGAUGGGACUGAGACACGGCCCAUACUCCUACGGGAGGCAGCAGUAGGGAAUCUUCCACAAUGGGCGAAAGCCUGAUGGAGCAAUACCGCGUGAUCGAUGAAGCCCCUUGGGGUGUAAAGAUCUUUUCUGAGGGAAGAAUUCUGACGGUACCUUAGGAAUAAGCACCGGCUAACUCCGUGCCAGCAGCCGCGGUAAUACGGAGGGUGCAAGCGUUAUCCGGAAUUAUUGGGCGUAAAGCGUCCGCAGGCGGUCUAUUAAGUCAGAUGUUAAAGACAGCAGCUCAACUGCUGGAAUGCAUCAGAUACUGGUAGACUAGAGUCUUGGAGAGGUAAGCAGAAUUCUGCAUGUAGGGGUAAAAUCCGUAGAUAUGCAGAGGAAUACCAAAAGCGAAGGCAGCUUACUGGCCAAGUACUGACGCUCAUGGACGAAAGCGUGGGGAGCAAACAGGAUUAGAUACCCUGGUAGUCCACGCCGUAAACACUGGACACUCGGUGUUGGGUCUCUCAACCAGACCCAGUGCCCCAGCUAACGCGAUAAGUGUCCCGCCUGGGAAGUACGGUCGCAAGAUUAAAACUCAAAGGAAUGGACGGGGACCCACACAAGCGGUGGAGCAUCUGGUUUAAUUCGAUAAUAAGCGAGGAACCUUACCUGGACUUGACAUCCCGAGAAUUUCCU